rnacentral:rRNA from 1 species
GUUCAUGGCUCAGGACGAACGCUGGCGGCGUGCUUAACACAUGCAAGUCGAACGAGAAUCUGUGGAUCGAGGAUUCGUCCAAGUGAAGCAGAGGACAGUGGCGGACGGGUGAGUAACGCGUGAGGAACCUGCCUUUCAGAGGGGGACAACAGUUGGAAACGACUGCUAAUACCGCAUGAUACAUUUGGGUGGCAUCAUCUGAAUGUCAAAGAUUUAUCGCUGAAAGAUGG